rnacentral:rRNA from 1 species
AGUGAACGCUGGCGGUAGGCCUAAUACAUGCAAGUCGAACGACCAGACAGGAAGAGCUCUCCCUUAACGGUGGCGAGUGGCGGGCGGGUGACGCAUACAUCGGAAACCUAUUUUUCUUGGGGGACUACGGGGGGCAAAUUCCGCUAAUACCUAAUAUGAUCAACCGGAUGAAUCAGCGGGGAAUCGGGCUCUUGCCGAUACAUAUAGACGAUGCCGGAUUAGCUAGUUGGCUGGGUAAAGGCCCACCAAGGCGACGAUCCGUAGCUGGUCUGAGAGGAUGAUCAGCCACACUGGAACUGAGACACGGUCCAGACUCCUACGGGAGGCAGCAGUGGGGAAUCUUGGACAAUGGGCGCAAGCCUGAUCCAGCCAUACCGCGUGGGUGAAGAAGGCCUUCGGGUUGUAAAGCCCUUUUGUUGGGGAAGAAAAGCAGCAGAUUAAUACCCCGCUGUUCUGACGGUACCCAAAGAAUAAGCACCGGCUAACUUCGUG